GAUCCUGGCUCAGAUUGAACGCUGGCGGCAGGCUUAAUACAUGCAAGGUCGAACGGUAACGGCAGGAAGCUUGCUUCCUGGCUGACGAGUGGCGGACGGGUGAGUAAUACCUGGGGAGCUGCCUGAAUGAGGGGGACAACACCUGGAAACGGGUGCUAAUACCGCGUAAGCCCUGAGGGGGAAAGCCGGGCAACCGGUCGCAUUCAGAUGCGCCCAGGUGGGAUUAGCUAGUUGGUGGGGUAACGGCCUACCAAGGCGACGAUCUCUAGCUGGUCUGAGAGGAUGAUCAGCCACACUGGAACUGAGACACGGUCCAGACUCCUACGGGAGGCAGCAGUAGGGAAUAUUGCACAAUGGGGGGAACCCUGAUGCAGCCAUGCCGCGUGUGUGAAGAAAGGCCUUUGGGUUGUAAAGCACUUUCAGUAUGGAGGAAGUGAGCUGAGUUAAUAGCUUAGUUCAUUGACGUUACAUACAGAAGAAGCACCGGCUAACUCCGUGCCAGCCGCCGC
rnacentral:rRNA from 1 species